CCCUUGUAGCUUAAUAUAAAUAAAGCAGUAGGCUUUUAACCUAAAUAUACACUCUUGUUGUCUAGGGA
rnacentral:tRNA from 1 species